GUGUAAGUAUGAACGAAUUCAGACUGUGAAACAGCGAAUGGCUUAUUAAAUCAACUAUAGUUUGUUUGAUGGUAACUACUACUCGGGAUAACCAUAGUAAUUCUAGAGCUAGUACGUGCAACAGACCCCGACUUCUGGAAGAGAUGCAUUUAUUAGAUAAAAAGUCGACGCGGGCUCUGUGAAAGGACCCAAAUUUUUUUCGUACCAUCAGUACGAGUCUGACUCGACUUCCUCGAUCAGACUUGGGCCGUUUUCCUAUUUUUCUUUACUUAGUAUUAUUUCCGAGAUUUAGUUCAUUUUCAGACAAUCAAGUAAGCAUAAUACGUUUUGAAUAGAUAAUCAGAG
rnacentral:ncRNA from 1 species